rnacentral:SRP_RNA from 1 species
GCUGGGCGCGGUGGUGUGUGCCUAUAGUCCCAGCUACUUGGGAGGCUGAGGUGGGAGGAUCGCUUGAGCCCAGGAGUUCUGGGGUGUAGUGCACUAUGCCGAUUGGGUGUCCACACUAAGUUUGGCAUCAAUAUGGUGACCUCCCAGGAGCGGGGACCACCAGGGUGCCUAAGGAGGGGUGAACCGGCCCAGGUCGGAAAUGGAGCAGGUCAAAAUUCCUAUGCUGAUCAGUAGUGGGAUCGCAUCUGUGAAUAGCCACUGCACUCCAGCCUGGGCAACAUAGCGAGACCCCAUCUCU